ensembl:lncRNA
UCAGUGGUAGCAACACAUGUCCGCAAAGUAAUGGUAAUAUGGUGAUGAAUCAAGAUGGGAAUGAUUUUUAAGUCUUGUAUCAUAAGUAGUUUUAUCUGUCGUUGAUGCUAUAUUUUAUUUUGCCCUGGGUGAUUUGAUUUGGGGCAGGUUUCCGAAGUUCAGUCGAGACUCAAGACCACGUGUUUUAGAGACGAAGUAACGUUAGCUAGCCUCCCCCUCUUAGCAUAGUUUGGGUGAGGUCAGUUGAUUUAACAGUUCUUGUUGUUUGUUUAAUUUUGGUUAAGUAUUUAAAUGACUUGACGUUACCCAGCGGUAGUCAGCAGUUCAGACCUGUACCGUGCCUGAACUAGUGUUACACUGCUGGAAAAGAAAGGCGCAGCCAGUUUGACUCUACCCAGAUGCUGCUGUUUUAGUGGUGUCUGAUUCUGAGUCAUGGCUGUGCUGUGUCCCCUCUGAGAGUUGAAUGUUCCCAAAUACACUGGGGCAUUCCUAGUCUGGGGACAAACAUUCAUUGCUUCCCAUAUAGAUGUGUACUGGCCAUUUCUGUACCCCUUUUUAAUCAUUAUUCAAAUCUUGCCAUUUUUGUUCAGGAAGGAUUGGCCCUCCAGUGGUGUGAAGUGGCAAUUUUGCCCUGGAAUGGUGGUUAAUCAUCGUCAUGAUGUAGGUGUAUAACUCCAGAACCCGCUCAGGAUGUUAGAAGGGCGUAAGUGUAUGAAUCGACAACCCGUGCCUGCUCAGGAUCUGUAGUAGGUUUGUAUUGGAAGCUUUUUUUCAAGUAAGACGACAACUGCAUCAGUUAACCUUCAUCUAGUUUAUAUUGUAUCAAGUGUUAUGAGGAAUUUGUGUAUAUGUUGAACAGGAGAAUGUAUUUGAAUAGCUGUUGCUGUAGUCAGCAUUUUAGUCUGACAACUAAUGUAGGAACCGUGUCAGUUUGCAGUGCCUUGAUUUACAAUUCAUUAAGUGCUAAAGUCUUUUUACUAUAGUAAAAUAAGUCUAGUCUUGUUUGUGCCAAAAUUGCAGUCUUUACUCGAGUGUGAAUACUGGUAACUGGUCAAUUCACAUUACCUGUGCUCGAAUGAAAUGACUACUGAUGUAUGUUUGUUUCUCAAUAAAAGGGUGGAAAUGUCUGUCGUGUUUCCCUGACUUUGUUGACUUGUCUAACAAAUACUAGAGAACAGUAAAAUUCCAUAUGUGCUCUAUUUACACUGUCUGAAUGGGCAAUCCUUAACUUGUGGUCUAUGCUGUAGAAUUUUUUUAAGUGCUUUAAACUGCUUCUCUGCAGCAAGCAAGAUUGUUCAUGCCCUCCAGUUUCACAGCCAGUGUCUCACCAAACAAAACAGUGGAGGGUUACAAUAUAUUUGAGCUUAGAUUCUCAAUGUAAACACAACCUGUAAUAGGGUUGUAGCAUAGCUGUCAUUCUAAUUGACCGGAAUUCUCUCAUAUGUGCUUCAUGUAACAGAAUAUACUUGCUAACAACAUUUAUCACCGUCAGUCUAGAAGAUAGCUUUGUAGGGACUUUUGGCAGUCAACUGCCAACGCUUCACUUACGCACUUUAGGCUUAUGGACAGUCCACUUAGUGCUCAAAGACUAGCAUCCAGUGCGGAGAGGUUCUAGAUGAAUGUGCAUUUGAAUCUGGAACAUUAUCCAAAUUCCAAGUCACAAGACGGACCAUAUGGGAUAUACAGUAAACCAACUGCUGAAGGCAAGACUUAAGAACCAUGAUAAACGGCAACAAAAAACAGGCCAAGAUCAAAACACAGGAAGCCAAACAACCUAGGGGUGCCUAGAUUGAAUUGAACAGGCACAUUUUCAGGAUCAGCAUGCCUCAGUACAGAUUUAAAGACUUUGCAAGGACCUCAAGACGGAUGUGUAGUACCAGCAUUCUUACUAUCAUUAUCAGGGCAGUUACAGCUCCCAAACACAAGGUGAAGUAAUCUGAUUUUGUGUAAUGGCGGAGGAAAUGGUAUUUUAUCUGGACAGGCACUUAUUUUUAUUUGUAAGGGGAUUUCUUGAACAUAAAGUAAUUUGGUAUUUAAAGACAGAUUUGACAAUAUUAAAAUACAAGAACAAAGAAAUAAAACAUUUUCCUAGUGGUCUGGCAGGUCAAGUUCAGUAUGAGCAACUUAUUCCUUAAGGUGAAAUAGAGCAGCUCCUGCCUUUGAUGCAGGAGAUUAUCACAGUCCACUCUCCACGUUUGCCUAAAUUGUACAUCAA